rnacentral:rRNA from 1 species
UACGUAGGGUGCGAGCGUUGUCCGGAAUUACUGGGCGUAAAGAGCUCGUAGGUGGUUUGUCGCGUUGUUCGUGAAAUCUCACGGCUUAACUGUGAGCGUGCGGGCGAUACGGGCAGACUAGAGUACUGCAGGGGAGACUGGAAUUCCUGGUGUAGCGGUGGAAUGCGCAGAUAUCAGGAGGAACACUGGUGGCGAAGGCGGGUCUCUGGGCCGUAACUGACGCUGAGGAGCGAAAGCGUGGGGAGCGAACAGG